rnacentral:tRNA from 2 species
GCCAAGCUAGCCAAGAUGGUCACGGCGCGUGUCUGAAAAACACGAAAUUGAGGUUCGAGUCCUCAGCUUGGCA